GCGCUGGUAGUUUAAUUGGCAAAACAAUAGUCUCCAAAACUAUAGUUUCUCGAUCAUAGCGAGACCGGCGUGCCA
rnacentral:tRNA from 1 species